AAGAGGAAUCCAAUUUCAUUCCCCAAGAAGUAGCUCUUUCAGCAGUUAUUGAAUUCAAGCAUGAAUAUGGACAGGACUUUUUGCAGCGCUUUUUUGGUGGACAAAAAUUCAUUGACUGUGAAUCUGUGGACUUGACCUUGUGGAAUCAACCCUGAUUGCAGCAUUUAAGAAGCUAAGUGAGGAGUUGGAGUGUCUGGGUUUGUGGUUGUCCUGGAUCAAGGUUAAAAUUCAGGAUUUCAGUGACUUCCUGGACUUGGCCAUCACAGAUGUCUCUCUGUGUGUUGUCUCAUCAACAACUGUCAAACUUGUCUGUGGAGAUUCUUAGUCAUCCAGGUCAUAGUAUCCAAGUUAGCUGAGACAGGUCAAUUAGACUUGAUUAGUUUGUUGAAGAUGUUUCGCUCUUCAUCCUGAAAGGCUUUGUCGAUUGGAGUAAUAAGAGACUCAGCUAUGGUACUUGUCCUCUGUGGGGUCACUGAUGUCACAGUGAUGUUAAAAGUUGUUGGUCACCAGAGAUCACUUGAGUUCACGUGUGAGUUGCUGUUGUGCGUGAAGGGCUGGGUACAUAUGAAAAUGUCACGUGACUGUAUCCAAAAAUAUCUCUGUCCAUAGAGGGGCUGAGACACAACCUUUUCCCCCACAUCUAAUUUAUAUCUUUACAUCAGUUGUGCUCAUGUUCAGUCCUCAGGAUCUCCCUUCCUGACACUCUUAGUUGUCUCCCUGCUCCAUCACACCUGAAUCCAAUGAAAGACACACUAAAAGCUUGCUUACAAGUCUUUCAUUGGAUUCAGGUGUGUUGGAGCAGGGAGACAACUAAGAGUGUCAGGAAGGUAGAUCUCAAGGACCAAACUUGGACACCCGUGCUUUACAUCAAUACCACAUAUUCAAAGAGCGUCAUCACCUCUCCUCAAUGAAACUCACCACUUCGACUAAAACGGAUGAAGUUUUUCUGGAUGAAGAUUGAAACGUCUUCAUGGAACUUAUCAAGUCCAGUUGAUCUGAUCCAACCUAGUUGGAAGUGUCCAGCUUCUUGAUGAGAGAUUGACAAUGUUCAUGUCUUUGGUACCUCAGGGUAUGAGGUUUAGACUCCGGGGGAAAACCUGUGAAGUCAUGGGGUCACUGGACAGAGGUGUUUAGUGAUGCCUAUAACUAUGUAGGAGAAUGAAUGUCCAAAUCCUGAGGUCUUUUGUUGCUUCUUCACUUACUGUAUGGUUGUAAGAUGUGGACUCCAGCAAGUGGUCUAAGACUGCAUGUCUCUAGUACUGUAAUCUUGAAUAACCAUGGAAUGACUGUGUCAAAUGAGCUGUUACUUGGGGAGACUCAGAUGAGGUGUGCUACUUGCGUUGUGUGGGAACGUCAGCGCUGCCAUGAUAGCCAUGUGGUGUGCUUCCUUGAUUGUAAUCCAGGGUGAAGGUGCUUCAGUGUUGCCAAUCCCAGCAACUGGAAAAGGCCAAGGAGAUGUUCACAUUUAAUCAAGCUUUGGUUCAUAGAUGGCUGCUUUAAAGAGGUGGGCAAGGGCCGGUGGUCUGGCGGGAUGGUUACCAUCCACAACCCUAGAACUGUUCUGGUCUUGUGUUGCCACUGGUGAUGAUGUGUGGCACUAGUGUAUGCUUCCAGACCUGACCUGUACAGAUGUGUGUGCACAUCACUGUUUCUGUUAAUAUGAAGCACCGCUGUUACUGAGUAAGAAAGAAGGUGACGUCUGGUGCAGAGAGUUUGUGUUUCAGGUUCAAGCUGCUGUAGAACUCAGAGCUGGUCUUUACUGUGUGAGGGUCUGUGAUGAAAUCAUGGCCCACUG